GCCAGACUCCUACGGGAGGCAGCAGUGAGGAAUAUUGGUCAAUGGGCGGAAGCCUGAACCAGCCAAGUCGCGUGAGGGAAUAAGGCCCUACGGGUCGUAAACCUCUUUUGCCGGGGAGCAAGGGCGGGGACGUGUCCCGGCCCGGAGAGUACCCGGAGAAAAAGCAUCGGCUAACUCCGUGCCAGCAGCCGCGGUAAUACGGAGGAUGCGAGCGUUAUCCGGAUUUAUUGGGUUUAAAGGGUGCGUAGGCGGGCUUUUAAGUCAGCGGUAAAAAUUCGGGGCUCAACCCCGUCCGGCCGUUGAAACUGGCGGGCUGGAGUUGGAGAGAAGUAUGCGGAAUGCGCGGUGUAGCGGUGAAAUGCUUAGAUAUCGCGCAGAACCCCGAUUGCGAAGGCAGCGUACCGGCUCCACACUGACGCUGAGGCACGAAAGCGUGGGUAUCGAACAGGAUUAGAUACCCCUGUAUUA
rnacentral:rRNA from 1 species